ensembl:lncRNA
AUGAAAAAAGAGGACAAAAGCCUCAAUCCAGUAUCAAAAAUGCAACAAAACCUUUUUUUUUUUCCUUUUUACAAUAAAUCACUUUCUCAUCUACACACAUUCUUGAGCACUUUUUUUUUGUGGCUUUUGAUUUGGCUUCCUGGCAGCAUGGACAGAAGAGAACACACACAUGGGGACUUUAUCAGUACCUCAGUUUUUUGUUUUAAAAUUUUAAAAGUAAAGAAUGAUUUCUAAAAAUAAGAAAUAUAGUCCAUAAUUUGGGCAUGACCUAAGCAAAAAUUUUUAAUCUUUUUUCCAUAGUUAAAAAGUUAGAAUUUUCUGGCAAUUUAUUUCAUGGAGAUUUAUCAAAUGUACAUCAUUUCUCAAUGCAUUCCCAGUGCACAGAUAUUAGGGGACAGUCCACAGUCGAUGGUCCACCUCAGGGGUGUUUAGGGAAAUUGUGCUGACUGUUAAGAGCUGCUGAUUUGUUGUUCAACGAAAGCCCAGCUGACACAGGCAUCAUUUUAUCACACUGAUUCACAUUUUGUUUGUAAUCUACUUUCACCUCCCCAUUUCUACACUGGUAAAAAAGUAAUACCCCCUUUCUUCUUCCACUAUCAUCAUGACUGAGGGGUUGGUCUGAAACUGUGAACAGUCUGUCAAACAGGGGUGUUGAAGGUGUUAUCUGCUCUGACCUGGCUUAUAGGUAACCCAAAAUCACCUGGUGAGGUGGGGGUGGGGGGUGGGGGUGCAUGCACAGUGCUUCAUCAUUGGUUUGGAUGGUGAAAGCUCUGUUACAAUGGACCAAAGUGUGUGAGUCAACACAUAGAUUUUAGAUUUUGGCAUUUCAACCUGUGGAGAAUUUCCAUCUGAAGCAUGCAGCUUUGAGGCCCCCAUAGUAUCUUUUAAAAAGCUGUUCUGCAGAAUUGGGAUAAACCUUUAAUGUUGUCAUAAUCUAGAGUUCUUUGUAUUUGGGUGACCCGUUAAUGCUGAUACCAUAUGUCCUCUACAGUAAAAAGUGUGCCAAAGGCAUUAAAUUAAUCUUUCAAACUUAAAAAAAAAAAAAAGGUUUUGUGGUCCUUGUGUUUAGAAUAAUUUUUUUUUAAAAAAGGAUAAAAUGGGCUCAGAGAAGUUGAGUAAUUUCCAGUUAAGGUCACAAUUAAGUGGUAGAUCACUUGCACUAAGUUUUAAGUCCUUUCCACAAUAUCAACAAAUUUUAGACAUGGAAGCAAAUAACACUUUUGGAGAGAGACAACACACCUUAAAGGAGUAAGCUUUUUAGCUUUUUGUGUAUAUUUAGAGAUAAAGCUUAAAAUGCAAAUCUUCCCUUGAGAGUGGGAAAGCAUGAACAAAUGAGUACCAUAGGCUUUUACAUAUUCAAAAAAUUAAAUUCUAGAAUUCUAGAUUUAAGACGUGGCAGUUAAUAGAAAAGUUCUAAUUUAAAAAUAAUUUCUAUAGAAUACACAUCUGUAUAUGCACAUUUAUUUACUUAGAGAACAUAUUUCUUUGGAUGUUUGUGCCAUUUCUUAGUUCUAUGUUGUGUCCAUAGCUGUUUCAUUCCCAUCCCUACACUUCAAGCCGCCAUAUUACUUUUAAAUUACCUUAUGACUCAUUUUCAGUUAUUUAUAAUAAUUAACUAUUUAGCCAAUAAAGCACUUUCAUGAGUAAAAAAUACAGAUUUUUGAAUUUGGUUCUAGGAAUAGUUCAAUUUUCAUAUUUAAUAAAUCUCAUAUUUAUCACAUGUAGCAUGAAAUUGCUUCUGUUGUAAAAGAAUAAUUAUAUAUUCAUUGCAAACAGUAUAAGAAGCAAUAAAUAUACCUCCUUCUAUCAUAUGAAAAUAUGUGACAUUUCCCUAAAAAAUUCCUUGAAUUUAGAAUAUAGUUAAUAAUAUGGUAACAACUUUGUGUGGUGACAGAAGGUAGCUAGACUUAUCAUUGUGAUCACUUCCUAAUGUAAAUAAAUGUUGAAUCACUAUGUUGUACAUCUGAAACUAAUAUAAGAUUACACGAAUAAAGAGAAAAAAAUUCCCUGCAUAUAGAAAUUUUAGACCUUCUCUACUUGUAAAUCUAAGUGUAUCCUUUCCCAGAUGAUAGCGUUUCCCCUAGGGCUUUGGUACAUUUCAUAAAAAGGAAAAUAUAGACAGUGGAAAUAGAGGUAGAAAUAGAAGAGUUCAAGUGUGGUAGCUCAUGUGUAUGCUGGGGGGCAAGUGUAAUGAGGACCUGCUCCCCUGGGUUUCAGUGACUGAGGGUGGCAAAGAUACAA